UACAGAGGUCUCAAGCGUUGUUCGGAUUCAUUGGGCGUAAAGGGCGCGUAGGCGGCGCGGUAAGUCGGGGGUGAAAUCUCGGGGCUUAACUCCGAAACUGCAUUCGAUACUGCCGUGCUUGAGGACUGGAGAGGAGACUGGAAUUUACGGUGUAGCGGUGAAAUGCGUAGAUAUCGUAAGGAAGACCAGUGGCGAAGGCGGGUCUCUGGACAGUUCCUGACGCUGAGGCACGAAGGUCAGGGGAGCAAACGGG
rnacentral:rRNA from 1 species